AGUGAACGCUGGCGGUAGGCCUAACACAUGCAAGUCGAACGGCAGCACAGUAAGAGCUUGCUCUUACGGGUGGCGAGUGGCGGACGGGUGAGGAAUACAUCGGAAUCUACUUUUUCGUGGGGGAUAACGUAGGGAAACUUACGCUAAUACCGCAUACGACCUACGGGUGAAAGCAGGGGAACUUUGGACCUUGCGCGAUUGAAUGAGCCGAUGUUGGAUUAGCUAGUUGGCGGGGUAAAGGCCCACCAAGGCGACGAUCCGUAGCUGGUCUGAGAGGAUGAUCAGCCACACUGGAACUGAGACACGGUCCAGACUCCUACGGGAGGCAGCAGUGGGGAAUAUUGGACAAUGGGCGCAAGCCUGAUCCAGCCAUACCGCGUGGGUGAAGAAGGCCUUCGGGUUGUAAAGCCCUUUUGUUGGGAAAGAAAAGCAGCAGGUUAAUACCCCGCUGUUCUGACGGUACCCAAAGAAUAAGCACCGGCUAACUUCGUG
rnacentral:rRNA from 1 species